rnacentral:rRNA from 1 species
AGAGUUUGAUCCUGGCUCAGAAUCAACGCUGGCGGCGUGCCUCAGACAUGCAAGUCGAACGAUUAAGACUCCCUUCGGGGAGUGCAUAAAGUGGCGCACGGGUGAGUAACACGUAAGUAAUCUACCUUCGAGUGGGGAAUAACAUCGGGAAACCGAUGCUAAUACCGCAUAAUGCAGCGGCAUCGCAAGAUGACAGUUGUUAAAGGAGCAAUCCGCUUGAAGAGGAGCUUGCGGCAGAUUAGCUAGUUGGUAAGGUAACGGCUUACCAAGGCUACGAUCUGUAUCCGGUCUAAGAGGACGGUCGGACACACUGACACUGAAUAACGGGUCAGACUCCUACGGGAGGCAGCAGUCGGGAAUUUUGGGCAAUGGGCGAAAGCCUGACCCAGCAACGCCGCGUGAAGGAUGAAGUAUUUCGGUAUGUAAACUUCGAAAGAAUAGGAAGAAUCAAUGACGGUACUAUUUAUAAGGUCCGGCUAACUACGUGCCAGCAGCCGCGGUAAUACGUAGGGACCAAGCGUUGUUCGGAUUUACUGGGCGUAAAGGGCGCGUAGGCGGCGUGGUAAGUCACUUGUGAAAUCUCUGAGCUUAACUCAGAACGGUCAAGUGAUACUGCUGUGCUAGAGUGCAGAAGGGGCAAUCGGAAUUCUUGGUGUAGCGGUGAAAUGCGUAGAUAUCAAGAGGAACACCUGAGGUGAAGACGGGUUGCUGGGCUGUGGCUGACGCUGAGGCGCGACAGCGUGGGGAGCAAACAGGAUUAGAUACCCCGGUAGUCC